rnacentral:rRNA from 1 species
GACGAACGCUGGCGGCGUGCCUAAUACAUGCAAGUCGAACGCUUCUUUCCUCCCGAGUGCUUGCUCUCCAUUGGAAAGCGGAGUGGCGGACGGGUGAGUAACACGUGGGUAACCUACCCAUCAGAGGGGGAUGACACUUGGAAACAGGUGCUAAUACCGCAUAACAGUUUAUGCCGCAUGGCAUAAGAGUGAAAGGCGCUUUCUGGUGUCGCUGAGGGAUGGACCCGCGGUGCAUUAGCUAGUUGGUGAGGUAACGGCUCACCAAGGCCACGAUGCAUAGCCGACCCGAGAGGGUGAUCGGCCACACUGGGACUGAGACACGGCCCACACUCCUACGGGAGGCAGCAGUAGGGAAUCUUCGGCAAUGGACGAAAGUCUGACCGAGCAACGCCGCGUGAGUGAAGAAGGUUCUCGGAUCGUAAAACUCUGUUGUUAGAGAAGAACAAGGACGUCAGUAACUGAACGUCCCCUGACGGUAUCUAAACAGAACGCCACGGCUAACUACGUG